AGAGUUUGAUCCUGGCUCAGGACGAACGCUGGCGGCGUGCCUAACACAUGCAAGUCGAACGCGAUCUUCGGAGUAGUUUACUACACCGAAGUGAAAGUGGCGGACGGGUGAGUAACGCGUGGGUAACCUGGCCUAUGGAAGGGGAUAGCCUCGGGAAACCGGGAUUAAUACCGUAUGUAGUUGGAAGAUCGCAUGAUCUACCAAUGAAAGAUUUAUCGCCAUAGGAUGGACCCGCGUCCCAUUAGCUAGUUGGUGAGAUAACAGCUCACCAAGGCGACGAUGGGUAGCCGGCCUGAGAGGGCGAACGGCCACACUGGGACUGAGACACGGCCCAGACUCCUACGGGAGGCAGCAGUGGGGAAUAUUGCGCAAUGGGGGAAACCCUGACGCAGCAACGCCGCGUGAAUGAUGAAGGUCUUCGGAUCGUAAAGUUCUGUCGAAGGGGAAGAAAAAAAUGACGGUACCCUUAGAGGAAGCCCCGGCUAACUACGUGCCAGCAGCCGCGGUAAUACGUAGGGGGCAAGCGUUGUCCGGAUUUACUGGGCGUAAAGGGCUUGUAGGCGGUUUUUUAAGUCAGGUGUGAAAGUUCGGGGCUCAACCCCGGAAUUGCAUUUGAAACUGGAGAACUUGAGUACUGGAGAGGUAAGUGGAAUUCCUAGUGUAGCGGUGAAAUGCGUAGAUAUUAGGAGGAACACCAGUGGCGAANGCGACUUACUGGNACAGAUACUGACGCUGAGGANCGAAAGUGUGGGGAGCAAACAGGAUUAGAUACCCUGNUAGUCCACGCCGUAAACGAUGAGUGCUAGGUGUUGGGGANACUCAGUGCCGUANUUAACACAAUAAANCACUCCGCNNGGGNAGUGCGGUCGCAANACUGAAACUC
rnacentral:rRNA from 1 species